rnacentral:hammerhead_ribozyme from 1 species
CUACUGAUGACGAGUCCCAAAUAGGACGAAUUGCGCAUCCUGGAU